AUCGGAGUGUUGGAAUUGGUAGACAUAACGGACUUAAAAUCCGUUGCCAUUGAGUGCGUGAGGGUUCGAGUCCCUCCUCCGAUACCA
rnacentral:tRNA from 1 species